rnacentral:lncRNA from 1 species
CUGAGGCAAAAUGUUGCGUUUCAAUACUAGAGCUAAAGACUCUGGUAAGAGUUUUCUAGAUUGAGGAGAUAGAUAUUGGUCAGGUUUUGCCUGCUCUAUGAAUUUCCUGCUCAAAGUGAAGACAGGAGCCUUCACAUUUCAUAGUUUGUCCUUUUCUGGCCAUUUGGAAACCUGACUGUUUUGACUGUACAAACUUACAGCUGGGGCCUGAGCAGUGAGCAGAAUGGAAUGUCUAUCAGGACAGCCGUAGAUUUCCACAGCUUCCUGCUUUCGUCAGCUUCAGCUUAACAUCUAUUAUUGUGAAGAGUAGGGUCUUCCAAGUUUAUAAGAAGAAUCAGAUUUCCAAGAGCAAUUUACCCCUUUCUUCAUUCUGUUAGGCAUUAUUUGGAAUGGCUUUUCUUCGAUGAAUUCAAUUAACAGGCUGGAGUGCAGCGGCGUGAUCUCGGCUCACUAC